UACAGUACUUCAAGAGCGACAGAAUAGGCGGGAAAGUGUCAAAAUAUGCACGGAAAUGAAAUUUGCAUGCAUUAGCAAUUUCUAACAAAAAUCAGUAUAGCGCGUAUUUUCCCCCAUUCGCUUGUUAACUAUUCAAAUUACGUAAUCCCCUUAAAGUUUUACACCUGAUUAUUAAUAGUUAUUCUGCGUUUGUGCAACUGCGAUUUUGUAUGAUAAGUAGUGCAUGUUUCUGCAGGUUUAAGCGUUCGCUGGUGCAGGAAUACACACUGCGCCGGUGCAUACAGGCAACUUACACAACUCAACUAUUACGCAAUUUGUUUAUAAAUCGAGUUUGAUGCACACUGCAGUUUUUCAUGCAAAGAUAUGGAGCAGCUUCUGAAAAACAUCGAUUUUAAACUAAGAAUUAAAUUAGCAGCUUGGAUGUUUCUUUACAACAACUUCAAUAGGAUUUAGCUUCUGUUCCGAUUUGGGAUUUUUUUUUCUGAGAAUUAAAAUGGCUCAAUAUCAUCUGCUGUCGUGUUACACUUGUUGUGGUUAUUCGCCAGUAUAGGAGUUCUAUUGAUCGUUGCAAUUCGUGAAAAUAUAUCAACUAAUCAGUGGAAUUAAAAGACAUAGGCAUUGCCUAAGUUUUUUCGCAAUAAAAUCGAGUGGUAUGAAAGCUCACCUCAAGUGAUCUCAAAUGACCAGGUCACCGCGAACAUCAGUCUGUGUUAACCCGCUCUAGCACAUCGACCUGAAAUGCCCUCUUGGCGAGGGCGGUCUGGCCUGCCAGCAUACCAAAGAGAUCUUAGGAAUACUGCCUUGCUUAUGACAGGUUCUGAACAGUUUUUUUUUUCACCAGAUGGAUCCGUAAAAUUAAUGAUACUAUAUCCACACAAAUUUAAAAGUUUUCAAAAAGUAUCACGAAACAUAACUCGCAUGAUUACAUUCAAAACGCCAAGAACCAUAGAUUGACCUUCCCUCCGAAGGGCAGACGAAUUCCUAUUUCUCCCUACUGCUACUGGUGACGACAUAAAGAGAGGGCACGGUUUACAAAAUGUUCCUUUUGCGGUCAACACAGGUGAAAGGUGACAGAUGAAUUACCAGUGAUGCUCAUUUGUCAAAAUUGUGACCGUUUUCAGUUUUGCAUCUGUGUAUUCCUGGUGAAAUAGAAACAUCGUGUAUAAACACGGAACACCAGUGUAGGGUAAUAUAAAACUAACAAUUUGUGUUUCAUGUUGGAGAGAGAGAGAGAGAGAGAGAGAGAGAGUAUUACUUCAGAGUAUUAAGAUAUCAUCAUACAGGAAAACUUGUUAUGGAAUGAAGAGUUAAAACGAUAAUAUUUGGAAUGAAUUGAUUCAUUUGACUUUGUAUAAGUAAAGAAAAAAAGCAAAUGUAUUGUCUAUGUACAUGUAUAAUGCAAAAGGUAUACUGUAUCUGUUGACAGACACCCUAGUGCAUAUGUAUAAUACAAAGGGUAUAUUUGUUGAAAGAUACCCAAAGAAUAAAGAGAAUUCACUUAUGCUCAUACA